GUUCGACUCGUAUCUCGCACCCGUUCAGUCAUUCUGCCAAUACGUGUUUGGUAUACCAGAUAUCGUGUAUGAAGUGAAGUUUCGUUUACUUUUUUUUUUAAAUAGGUUUUUGUGCGACGAAUCAAGUUUAGUCGAGGAGUCAACGAUUUUCGAAACAUGAAAGAACGAAACGUACGGUGGAUUGCAGCAACGUUACUUGUCGCAUUAUUGAUAAUAGAAGAAGCAAAUACGAUAAAUGGACAGAAUAUCACAUCCGAGGAUAAAUUAUCUACGAAAAAAGCAGAGAACAAAGAGAGAUUGUCAGAUUUAGAGGGGUCGGAGACCAGUUACAAUUUUGCUUAUACGAAUGUCUUCGAAAAUGCGUACAACACGUUUCCUUAUCACACGUUCUCUACUUUUCCAACGUUCUCUACUUUUCUUCUUUUAGGAUUCUUUUUA